UUAAAAGCCCUUCCUGAAACCUAUCAGAGGGUUUAAGUCUUUUUUGAGCAUGAACUGUCCUGCUCUCCUUGCUUGAACCUUGCAAGAAGCAUUUCUCUGAUCGAAACUCUGACAUUUUGGUUUGGCCUCACUGUGCAUUGGGCACACGAACGUGGGUUUGACAACACUAUUAUAUGUAUUUUUUCUCAUUUAUUUAUUUGCUUAUUUGCUUUAGCCAUUUUACUGGCUGUCUUUCAGUAUAUCAUUCUGGUCUUUAAUUUGCAUUUCCAUGACAAAGAUGGCAAGCAUCCUUUCAUGUACAUAUUGAUGCUUAUUUUAUUAAGUAUCUAUUCAAAGCCUUUCUUGUUUUAUAUAACUUAAUGAAUAAAAUUGUUGAUUUCUGCCAGAAAGCUUGCCAGAAUUUUGAUUGAGUUUGCAAUGCUAUAGAUCAUUGUGGGGAGAAAUGAUGUCUCAAAAGACUGGAUUUUCUAGUCUAAGAAUGUGGCGUAUCUCUCCAUUUAUUUAGGUCUUCUUUAACUUAACCCAGCAAGGUUUGGUAGAUUUUUAUGUAAGGGACUUAAACUUUCAUUACUGAAUUUAUCCUUAAUUAUGAUUAUAAAUGAAUUUCUAAAUUGUAUUUCCAGCUGUUCACUGUAAGUAUGUACAAAUGCAGCUGAGUUUUGUAUGAUGAUUGCGCUGGGUUGAAUAGUGCCCCUCCUCACCCCAAAUCUGUGCCUGGUCAGAACUUGUGACCUUAUUUGGAAUGAGGAUGUUCACAGGUGUAAUUAGCUAAGGAUCUGAAGAUAAAUCAUUUAGAUUUAGGCUGGGCCUCCUUAUAAGGAGAUGAGGGAACACUGACACACAUCGAAGAAGGCCAUAUGAAGAUGGAGUCAGAGAUUGGACUUAGAACUGGGGCCACCAGAACGACCUCACAGCCAGCUCAAAGGACAAGAUGGGCUGCCUGACUGAUUAUACCCUGAGAAUAUUUAUGUAACUUCUGGAUGGAAGCAAAAUACUGAAAAGAGGAUACAGAAGAUAAAGUAAUGGAAGCUGGCCUGACUUAAGCCUCAUGUAAUCCCUAGCAUCUCCUAAAUCACAAGAGCCCUCAGCAUGCAGAAGUUCCUGGGCAGGGGAUUGGACCCACACCAUAGCAGUGACCUAGGCAGCUACAGUAACAGUGUCAGAUCCUUAACCUGCUGUGUCACAGGAGAAAUCCAAAUAAAUUUAUUUACUAGAUUUCUUCCUACAGCGAAAGAGAGCAUUAUUCUCUGUUAAAUUUAAAAGCAUAUAAUAUAACAUAUUAAAUCUACAGUGAAUAAAAACAGAAAGAACUUCUCUUCAUUUCUUUGUCUAAUGUGUGUUCCAUGACUUAGCAAAAGUACUAUGCUCCAGGCAUGAUGAAAUGCAAAUACUCAGGGGAACUGCUACCAUUUAAAUAGGUUCUAACAAUUCAGGCACAAAAAGCCACCACAGCAAAGCUGACUCUUUCUCCCCAGGAUCCUUCAACCUCAAAAAAAUGUCAACCUCAAAAAAUACAUGCAUAGGAGUUAAAGGUUCACCCAAAAGUCAACAGUAUAACUAAAAGAGAAAAAUCACAAUCCACAGUUGGCUCCAGGAAGUUAAGAAUUGAGGGAAAAAAAAUCCCAAUUCUAUUUUGAAUUUUGUUCGGGCUGGUCUGUUUGGUUUAGCAGGCAAAGGAUGAAGAAUAUGUAAAUGCCCAAUUUGAGCCUCACAGUUAUAAAUGUUGAGCAUUUUCUUAAAGUCAACAAUAUUUUCUUUAAUUAAACCAUUCAUGGAGUUCCCAUUGUGGCUCAGCAGGUUAAGAACCUGACUAGUAUCCAUGAGGAUAUGCA